rnacentral:rRNA from 1 species
UACGUAGGUGGCAAGCGUUGUCCGGAUUUACUGGGCGUAAAGGGCGUGCAGGCGGGUUGUUAAGUUCAGGGGGAAAGCUCCCGGCUCAACUGGGAGAGGUCCUUGGAUACUGGCAGACUUGAGGAGGGUAGAGGAGAGUGGAAUUCCCGGUGUAGCGGUGAAAUGCGUAGAUAUCGUAAGGAAGACCAGUGGCGAAGGCGGGUCUCUGGACAGUUCCUGACGCUGAGGCACGAAGGUCAGGGGAGCAAACGGG